CCUACGGGUGGCUGCAGUGGGGAAUCUUGCGCAAUGGGCGAAAGCCUGACGCAGCGACGCCGCGUGAGUGAUGAAGGCCUUCGGGUUGUAAAGCUCUGUGGAGGGGGACGAAUAAGUGUUGGCUAAUAUCCAGCAUGAUGACGGUACCCCUUUAGCAAGCACCGGCUAACUCUGUGCCAGCAGCCGCGGUAAGACAGAGGGUGCAAACGUUGUUCGGAAUGACUGGGCGUAAAGCGCGUGUAGGCGGCCUCGCAAGUCGGGUGUGAAAGCCCUGG
rnacentral:rRNA from 1 species